rnacentral:tRNA from 1 species
AGGAGAGUAGCUCAAUUGGUAGAGCACUGGUUUCCAAAACCAGCGGUUGGGGGUUCGAGUCCCUCCUCUCCUGCCA